GCCGCCCCAGGCCCCGGCACCCACCCAUCUGGCAGCCAGUGUUCCAGAAGGGCUGCGGGUUGUAGUUGCUGGAAUCCACUCGGAUCUGCUGGGCCUUGGUCUCGCUGAAGGAAGACACCUGCCAGCUGGACGCCACUGCCGGGCGAGACGGGAGGCGUCAGGGCACCAGAACCAGGGCGGAGUCAGGACUGGCGGAGCCACGGGCUCAGAGCCCCGUCUGCAGAGGCCAGAGGCUGCGAGGGAAGGGCCCGCAGCCCUGGGGUCCUGGCGCCCACCCUGCAGCCGCGCCUGCCCCCUCCUCUGCAGCGCCCUGCUUGGCCCGGGCCCUGGGUGGCCUGCACUCUGGGCGCCAACCAGUGUGGACCAGGGGAGGGCCGUCGAGGCACCUGCUCCAUCCAGCCCCGACCAGGGCUCCAGGAAUCCCAGAGGCCCUUGGUCCUGGAGGAGACCCCCCAACUCCGGCCGGCGCGGGGACAGCUGGGGCACAUGGGGGCAGGGAGCCCACCCG